rnacentral:lncRNA from 1 species
UCGGGACUACUGGGUCACCCUGGGUAGUCGGGACUUUAGACUGAGCUGUCUUGGUCACUCGGGGGCAGUUGGCAGAGUAUUCGUGGUCAGGGAGGUGACCCGUGGUCAGCAGGGUCAGGCCACCCAGGGACAAAGGGUCCUCCUGCACCGAGCCUUGGAGAAGGACAGACCGGUGGAGACUUGGGGUCAGCGGGGGAGCCUCCGCGGAUGGGGAGUCACCACCUGCCGGGUUCAAGCCAUUCUUCUGCCUCAGCCUCCCGAGUAGCUGGGACUACAGCCACCCACCACCACGACUGGCUACUUUUUUGUAUUUUAGUAGAAACAGGGUUUCACCGUGUUGGUCAAGAUAGUCUCGAUCUCCUGACCUCGUAAUCUGCCCGCCUUGGCCUCCCGAAGUGCUGGGAUUACAGCAAUCAGCCAUGACUGCCUUUGCACUGUCCAUGCUCUCAGCCCACCACCUCGUCCCCCUGCCAUUGCAGUGGCUAACACUGGAGACGAAGACCAAGACACCACAGCCUUUCUCCAGUACCUCUCAAAUCAGCACAGACAAGGACAAAGGCCUCAAUCCACAACUGCUG